AGCGAACGCUGGCGGCAGGCCUAACAUAUGCAAGUCGAACGGACCCUUCGGGGUUAGUGGCGGACGGGUGAGUAACACGUGGGAACGUGCCUUUAGGUUCGGAAUAGCUCCUGGAAACGGGUGGUAAUGCCGAAUGUGCCCUUCGGGGGAAGAUUUAUCGCCUUUAGAGCGGCCCGCGUCUGAUUAGCUAGUUGGUGAGG
rnacentral:rRNA from 1 species